GACGAACGCUGGCGGCGUGCUUAACACAUGCAAGUCGAACGGAAAGGCCCUGCUUUUGUGGGGUGCUCGAGUGGCGAACGGGUGAGUAACACGUGAGUAACCUGCCCUUGACUUUGGGAUAACUUCAGGAAACUGGGGCUAAUACCGGAUAGGAGCUCCUGCUGCAUGGUGGGGGUUGGAAAGUUUCGGCGGUUGGGGAUGGACUCGCGGCUUAUCAGCUUGUUGGUGGGGUAGUGGCUUACCAAGGCUUUGACGGGUAGCCGGCCUGAGAGGGUGACCGGCCACCUUGGGACUGCGGUACGGCGCAGACUCCUACGGGAGGCAGCAGUGGGGAAUAUUGCACAAUGGGCGGAAGCCUGAUGCAGCAACGCUGCGUGCGUGAUGACGGCCUUCGGGUUGUAAACCGCUUUCGCCUGUGACGAAGCGUGAGUGACGGUAAUGGGUAAAGAAGCACCGGCUAACUACGUG
rnacentral:rRNA from 1 species